CAAUCAACUUUGCGUUAUCUUUACAUACACAGACAAACCGACUGCAUUAAAUGAAAUUUGUUUAGCUCGAUACAUAUGCUUUUGUAAAUAUAGUGCUAAUUAUUUUAUUAGAAAUUUGCAUUAUAAUAACUAUUCGCCAUUAUCAACGGCUCCAUCGACCAAGCUGAAUAAGAAGGCUCUACAAGAUUGCCUUUGCGGUGUUAUGAACCUAACAAGUGAAUAGCGAAACCUCUCACUAAAACCUGUGAUUACAUUUAUCAGAAGACAUCCUUGGAAUAUCACAUUCCAAGAACGUGCAUGAUUUUUUAUUUUUGAAUGCAUCUCGAUAUUAUCAUCUUUGUCACGUAUAAUGGCGAAAUUAUAAAUUUCAUAGGUCGUUUUUAUACUGAUCAUUUCACAUUUGUAGCAAUGAAAUUAUUUUAAAAAUUGAAGUAUAGUCAACUUUAUUGAAGUCACCGUGAGUCAUUUGUGAAUGAUUAACACACAUUGUCUAGACAAUUAUUCAAUGUCAUCAGUUAAAUGACCUAUUCUCUAACCUAUAGAGAAUUUCAAAUCUGGCAGAUAUCCAUGUACAGUUCAUAUAAAUAUUGUUUCAAUUGCAACUGGUUUGUUUUUAUAAUUUUGAUUUAUUACCUUUCAAAAA